ensembl:lncRNA
GUUCAUUUGUUCAACAAACAGGCAACACCUAAGGGCCAGGUCCUAGUCUAGGUGCCAUGGAUAGAGUGGUAAAGAAGACAGACAAACUUCCAGCUUCAUGAAGCUUACUAAAUUCCAGUGGUGAAAAGAGACAAUAAAUAAGGACAGUAGUGACUAGUGCUAUAAAGAAGAAUAAAGAAUAACACAGGCCACAGUGCAACUGGGUGCAGGCAUGGAGAAAGUGGGAUUGGCUCAAUAAAGGGAUAAUUUAAAAGAUGAUGGAAAUGACUGCACCAAUUGAACCUUAAGAAGCACCUAGGUGCCAGACAUGAGAGUGAAGACAUCUUGGACAUUCCAGCCCCAGUCAUGUGCCUGCAGCUUCAUGACAGACUACUCGUGACACCAGCAGAAGAACCAUUCAGCUGAUCUUUAGUCAACUCACAGAAUCAUGGGAAAUAAUAAAAUGGUGGUUGUACUAGGUCGGUGCUCCCCGUAAGUUGAACCUAGUCCAAGGCAGAAGGAAAAGGAGCCUUCGAUGUUGUCCAUAAAGGUCAGACUCUCAGGUCACAGAGCAAGGGAGAGAAGAAUGGAGAUUGGCUCUGGAGAGGCAAACAGAAGAGAUUCAGCAGGGGCCACCCCCUUCCCCUUCAGCAUCAACUCUAGCUCUCCGUGCAAGUGAAAGUUGAUCUCCCUGUUACAGAACACAUCGAAGUCCUUCAGCUUCCGUAUUAUCAUGGGAAAAUGUUUGUUCAGUCAUAGUCCCACCUGGAACCCAAAAUCUUAGCCAACACUAGUGUUCUUCAUAUCAGGUGGCUAAGAUGAGGGGAGAAGGAUGUGGAAAAAUAAUCAAUUAAUAUCAAACCUAGCUAUUACCAUCCCUGCUUCUUGACUGGUCAUGAGGUCUAAGCAAGUGGUAAUCAUAUCUGUUUUCUUCCACAUUCACUUCAUGUUUCUCUUACCCUCUGAUACCACCUCAGCUUCAUGGGGUUCUUUACCUGGUAGGGUGACUCAAACCUUCAUUCCUGUGGGAUUUGAGUCCUUACUGGUCCUGUUUUAUUCCAUUGCUACAGUUUCCCGUUGACUAGGACAAUUGGCCGAGUGAGUACUAGGAGGCACCUAGUGAUUCCUCUGGGCUCCAAAUAUAGUUCUGUCCCAUCCUUGUGUAGCAGCAACCCAGUUUCUCCCUGGUAAUCAGGAUCAAUGACCCUGGUCAGCACAGUAGCCCCAUUCUCCACAUUGCUCCCUUGGCCACUAGGAUCUUUAAAUCCAAAGAGGCCAAGGUCAUAGGGACAAAAAGCAAAAUUCUUCAAGUGUAAUAGUGAGAGGUGCCACUCCCAGCUCCAACCCUUGGUUCCCAGGCCCAUGCAUUCUGGCUAAGGAAAAGAAGACAUGAUAUAUUGGUCACUGGUUAAAAGUAUACCUCAAUUUACAGAUCAGCAGCCCAACCUCACAGGGUGAUGUCUCCCAGCUGCUUUCAGGCCUAAGCCUUCACCAGGCCACUCCACUGUUCUAUUAAACCACUACUUCUGUGUAACGG